rnacentral:rRNA from 1 species
AACGCUGGCGGCGUGCCUAACACAUGCAAGUCGAACGGGAAAACAGGGGCAACUCUGUGAGUACAGUGGCGUACGGGUGAGUAACACGUGACUACCUACCCUCGAGUGGGGGAUAACCCCGGGAAACCGGGGCUAAUACCGCAUAAUAUCGAGAGAUCAAAGGAGCAAUCCGCUUGAGGAGGGGGUCGCGGCUGAUUAGCUAGUUGGUGAGGUAACGGCUCACCAAGGCGAUGAUCGGUAGCCGGCCUGAGAGGGCGCACGGCCACACUGGAACUGAAACACGGUCCAGACUCCUACGGGAGGCAGCAGUGGGGAAUUUUGCGCAAUGGGGGAAACCCUGACGCAGCAACGCCGCGUGGAGGAUGAAGUCCCUUGGGACGUAAACUCCUUUCGACCCGGACGAUAAUGACGGUACGGGUGGAAGAAGCA